GCCACUAUAGCUCAGUGGUUAGAGCACUGGUCUUGGAAACCUGGGGUCGUGAGUCGGAUCCUCACUGGUGGCU